AAUUUUGAGCAGUCGCGGUUUGACAUGUAAAUGAUCAAGCUGAGGAAAGUCCACGCACGCACAAGCUGCGAUGCUUGUAGUGAUCGUAUUUAGCCCAAUAAGCUAAAGAAUCUACAAUUUUGAGCAGAAAUAACAAAUUUAACAGCUUAAAAAUUUAGAUUACGGCGAAAAAAAUGCUAAGUCCUACUAAGGAUAUGCAUGAAUAUUCUGAAAAGUGCCACAGUGACGAAGCAAAGAUGAAAACAUUUUUGGUGGAACGAGGUAAACCCUGCGAGCGUGCAACCCAAACUUGGUGGGGGCGUUUCAAUCUAAGAAAUUGAACUAAAGAUUGGAUUGUUAUUAUUUAACAAAGAUAGAUGGCUGCUAAAGGUAUUUAUGCCGCAAAUACCUGAACAGAACGUGGCUUAUAGAA
rnacentral:RNase_P_RNA from 2 species